rnacentral:rRNA from 1 species
CCUACGGGUGGCAGCAGUGAGGAAUAUUGGUCAAUGGCCGGUAGGCUGAACCAACCAAGUAGCGUGAGGGACGACUGCUCUAUGGGUUGUAAACCUCUUUUAUAAGGGAAGAAUAAAUGCUACGUGUAGCAUGAUGCAUGUAUCUUAUGAAUAAGCAUCGGCUAACUCCGUGCCAGCAGCCGCGGUAAUACGGAGGAUGGGAGCGUUAUCCGGAUUUAUUGGGUUUAAAGGGUGCGUAGGUGGAUUGUUAAGUUAGUUGUUAAAGCUUCGGGCUUACCCGUAAAAUUGCAUUUAAUACUGUCAGACUCGAGUACAGUCGAGGUAGGCGGAAUUAGUUGAGUAGCGGUGAAAUGCUUAGAUAUAACGUAGAACUCCGAUAGCGAAGGCAGCUUACCGGACUGCAACUGACGCUGAUGCACGAGAGUGUGGGUAGCAAACAGGAUUAGAUACCCUGGUAGUC